GAUGAACGCUGGCGGCGUGCCUAAUACAUGCAAGUCGAGCGAACAGACGAGGAGCUUGCUCCUCUGACGUUAGCGGCGGACGGGUGAGUAACACGUGGAUAACCUACCUAUAAGACUGGGAUAACUUCGGGAAACCGGAGCUAAUACCGGAUAAUAUAUUGAACCGCAUGGUUCAAUAGUGAAAGACGGUUUUGCUGUCACUUAUAGAUGGAUCCGCGCCGCAUUAGCUAGUUGGUAAGGUAACGGCUUACCAAGGCAACGAUGCGUAGCCGACCUGAGAGGGUGAUCGGCCACACUGGAACUGAGACACGGUCCAGACUCCUACGGGAGGCAGCAGUAGGGAAUCUUCCGCAAAGGGCGAAAGCUUGACGGAGCAACGCCGCGUGAGUGAUGAAGGUCUUCGGAUCGUAAAACUCUGUUAUUAGGGAAGAACAAAUGUGUAAGUAACUAUGCACGUCUUGACGGUACCUAAUCAGAAAGCCACGGCUAACUACGUG
rnacentral:rRNA from 1 species